GGCUUUUCCAUUUCCAACAUUUUAUUGAUAUUUCAACCCGAGAGAAUUAGACUGUACAUUUUUCAAUCUUCCAAAUAACAUUCCUGAAAGAACCAAUAAUCAAUUUCUGCUUCCCUCUCAUUGGCCAGAAUUGCAUUGAACAGCCAUCCAAAUGGAAAGGUACCUUGGAACUGCUAUGUUUUAGUUGGGCACAUUUCUACCCUGAAAAGAACAGACUUCCAUCAUAAAGAAGGGGAGAUUGUUAAGGAGUGGAAAAGCCAACCUCUCCAACCUCCUCCUCCCCCUCAGCUUACUUAAUGCGAAGGCAACAAUGGUGAAGACUUUUGUGAUAAUCCACUUCCACUUAAUAAAUAGUCUCUGAGCCCAAGCCUGCACAUAUAUCCAGAUGGCCUGAAGCAACUGAAGAAUCACAAAAGAAGUGAAAAUGGCCAGUUCCUGCCUUAAUUGAUGACAUUACCUUGUGAAAUUCCUUCUCCUGGCUCAGAAGCUCCCCACUGAGCACCUUGUGACCCCUGCCCCUGCUUGCAAGACAACAACCCUCUUUGACUGUAAUUUUCCACUACCUACCCAAAUCCUAUAAAACUGUCCCACCCCUAACUCCCUUUGCUGACUCUUUUUGGACUCAGCCCACCUGCACCCAGGUGAUUAAAAAGCUUUAUUGCUCACACAAAUCCUGUUGGUGGUCUCUUCACACAGAUGCACAUGACAUUUGGUCCUGAAACAAAUUUGCCCCUGCCCCGGGCUGGCAAAUUGACUUUACUCAAAAGCCCUGAGUCAGGAAACUAAAAUACCUCUUGGUCUGGAAAGACACUUUCACUGGAUAUGUAGAGGCUUUUCCCACAAGGCCUGAGAGGGCCGCUGCAGUCAUUUCUUCCCUUCUGUUAGACAUAAUUCACUUUCUUGCUCAGCCCCAACCUCUUCCCAGACACCAGCCCUCUAGGCGACUAUCUUCCAGUCCUCCAGCAGGCUAGAUAGGAAAUUCGCUAGGUUGCUAAUCUUCUCUUGCCUACUCCAGAUUCCCAGCCAUAUAAAGACACGCUAGUGGGAAUCAGUUCUUGUUAAGAAUCCGAUCCCUCAAACUCUACAACCUCAUUGGACCAGACCCUACUUAGUCAUCUAUAAUACCCCAACUGCCUCCACCUGCAGGACCCUCCCCACUGGGUUUACCAUUCCAGAAUAAAGCUGUGUCCAUCAGACAGCCAGCUUGAUCUCUCCUCUUCCUCCUAGAAGUCGCAAGUACUUAUCCCUACUUCCCUUAAAGUCACCCACAUUUCUAAAGAACAGUAGUGACCCUUAUGAGCCUAAUACAUCCUUUCAUUUUGUUAGGUCUAUUCAUCCUUACCCUACUCUUUGCAAUAGUGCUUUAUGCAGUCACCCCUACUACUUAAACUGCAUCCUAAAAACUUUUCAUCCUUGCUGUCUUCUGUCUAGUCAUACUCUUAUUCUUCGUUCUCACUUAUCCAUGAGUGCCCACCCUUGUCUACACUACUGGCUUAUAUUUUUUCUCCAAACCAUCAUAGCUGGUCCUGGUCUUAUCCCCUAACCACCACUCUUAACUCCCUCUUACAGUGGAUAAAUGACCUUUGCUGAAAAAACACACUCCAAUUCUUUCCCCUACUUUACAUUUCUAGUUUUGCCUUACACAAGGUCUCUUCUUCCUCUGUGGCUCCUCUACCUACAUGUGUCUACCUGUUAAUUAGACAGGCACAUGUACACUAGUUUUCCUUACCCCUAAAAAUCAGUUUGCAAAUAUUACCGAACAGCUUCCUGUUCCCCUCAUGACACCAAUACUUCACCACUAUCUUGUUUUGUUUUUCUUAUUAUUAAUACAAUAAGACGGGAAUAGGUCUUGACUUACUGCUGAAAAAGGAGGACUCUGUAUAUUUUUAAAUGAAAAGUGUUGUUUUUACCUAAAUCAAUCUGGCAUGGUACAUGGCAACAUAAAAAAAAACUCAAAGAUAGGGCCCAAAAACUCACCAACCAAGCAAAUAAUCAUGCUGAACCUCCUUGGGCACUCUCUAAUUGGAUGUCCUGGGUCCUCCCAACUCUUAGUCCUCUAAUACCUGUUUUUCUCCUUCUCUUAUUCAGUCCUUGUGUCUUCCGUUUAGUUUCUCAAUUCAUACAAAACCGUAUCGAGGCCAUCACCUAUCAUUCUACACAACAAAUGCUCUUUCUAACAACCCCACAAUAUCACCCCUUACCACAAAAUCUUUCUUCAGCUUAAUCUCUCCCACUCUAGGUUCCCAUACCGCCCCUAAUCCCACUCAAAGCAGCCCUGAGAAACAUCGCCCAUUAUCUCUUCAUACCACCUCCAAAAAUUUUCACCACCCUAACACUUCACCACUAUCUGGUUUUGCUUUUCUUAUUAAUAUAAGACAGGAAUGUCAGGCCUUUGAGCCCAAGCCUGCACGUAUACAUCCAGAUGGCCUGAAGCAACUGAAGAAUCACAAAAGAAGUGAAAAUGGCCGAUUCCUGCCUUAACUGAUGAUAUUACCUUGUGAAAUUCCUUCUCCUGGCUCAGAAGCUCCCCGACUAAGCACCUUGUGACCCCCACCCCUGCCUACAGGAGAACAACUCCCUUUGACUGUAAUUUUCCACUACCUACCCAAAUCCUAUAAAACUGCCCCACCCCUAACUCCCUUUGCUGACUCUCCUUUCAGACUCACCUGCACCCAGGUGAUUAAAAAGCUUUAUUACUCACACAAAGCCUGUUGGUGGUCUCUUCACACGGAUGCGCAAGACACCCACCAUGAUUCUGAGGCCUCCCAGCCAUGUGGAACUGUAAGUCCAAUUAAACGUCUUUUUCUUCCUAGUCUUGGGUAUGUCUUUAUCAGCAGCAUAAAAAUGGCCUAAUACUGUAAACUGGUACCAAUAGAGUGGGGCGUAGCUGAAAAGAUACCUGAAAAUGUGGAAGCGACUUUGGGACAGGGUAAUAGGCAGUGGUUGGAAGAGUUUGGAGGGCUCAGAAGAAGACAGGAAAGUGUGGGAAAGUUUGGUACUUCCUAGGGACUUGUUGAAUGGCUUUGACCAAAAGCCUGAUAGUGACAUGGAAAAUAAGGUCCAGGCUGAGGUAGUUUCAGAUGGAGAUGAGGAACUUGCUGGAAACUGGAGCAAAGGUGACUCUUGUUAUGUUUUAGCAAAGAGACUGGCAGCCUUUUUUCCUUGCCCUAGAGAUUUGUGGAACCUUGAAUUUGGGAGAGAUGAUUUAGGGUAUCUGGUGGAAGAAAUUUCUAAGCAGCAAAGCAUUUAAGAAGUGACUUGGGUGCUAUUAAAGGCAUUCAGUUUUAUAAGGGAAGCAGAGCAUUAAAGUUUGGAAAAUUUGCAGCCUGACAAUAUGAUAGAAAAGAAAAACCCAUUUUGUGGGGAAAAACUCAAGCAGGCUGCAGAAAUUUGCAUAAGUAACUUGGAGCUAAAGGUUAAUCCCAAGACAAUGGGGAAAAUGUCUGCAGGGCACGUCAGAGGUUUUCACAGCAGGCCCUCCCAUCACAGGCCAGGAAGCCUAGGAGGAAAUGUUUAGUGGUCCAGGCCCAGGGUCCCAGUGCUGUGUGCAGCCUAGGGACUUGGUGCCCUGCGUCCCAGCUGCUCCAGCCGUGGCUGAAAGGGGCCAGUGUAGAGCUUGGGCCAUGGCUUCAGAGGGUGCAAGCCCCAAGUCUUGGCAGCUUCCAUGUGAUGUUGAGUCUGCGAGUGCACAGAAGUCAGGAAUUGAGGUUUGGGAACCUCAGUCUAGAUUUCAGAUGUAUGGAAAAUCCUGGAUACCCAGGCAUAAGUUUGUUGCAGGGGUGGGGCUCUCAUAGAGAACCUCUGCUAGGGCAGUACAGAAGGGAAAUGUGGAGUCUGAGUCCCUCCUGGGUCCCUGCUGGGCAUGCCCACUUCCCGUAGGGGCCACAGAGUCCUUGCUGGGGCACCACCUAGUGAAGCUGAGAGAAAAGGGCCACCAUCCUCCAGACCUCAGAAUGUUAGAUCCACCGAUAGCUUGCAUCAUUCGCCUGGAAAAGCUGCAGACACUCAGUGCCAGCCCAUGAAAGCAGCUGGGAGGGAGGCUGUACCCUGCAAAGCCACAGAGGCAGAGAUGCCCAAGACCAUAGGAACUCACCUCUUGCAUCAGUGUGACCUGGAUGUGAGACCUGAAGUCAAAAGAGAUCAUUUUGGAGCUUUAAAAUUUGACUUCCCCCCUGGAUUUUGGACUUGCAUGGGCCCUGUAAC
rnacentral:lncRNA from 1 species